rnacentral:lncRNA from 1 species
CCAUCUCAGGAAUUGUGGGUUCUAGUAGGUAACCCUCCCAUGCCGCCACCAGCUUAGAGUCGGGCUCACGAAUCAUAAAGCCAGCCCCACAGUGCCUACCUUUGACGCUCCCAUCAAAACUAAUCUUAAGAUACGAUGAAGGAGAGGGCUCCCAUGAAAUGAAUACUUGAUGGAUCACUGCAUGACCAAGGUGGGAGCCCCAGAUCUCCGACUGUCUGGAUGUCACAUCCAUUGUCUUCGCUGCUAUGGCCAAGGCUCUCACCACAGUAAAUCUCAUAGA